UUAUAAAUAAAAAUUAAUUAAGAAAAAAUUAAAUGAAAUCAUUAAAUUUAGAUAGUUUGGCGGUACUUUAAAUAGUUAGAGGAAUUUGUUAAUUAAAUGAUAUUCCACGAAUGGAAAGUCCUAAUGUAGUUUUUAUGUAUUGUUGUAUAAAAAUUAUUUCAUAAGAAUUAUGAUUGAAAUAUUUAAUUUAAUUUGAAUAUAAAUCAAAAUGUAGAAUUGUUAGGAUUAAAUGAAUUACAAUUUAGUAAAAUAUUAGAGUUAUUUUUUAAAUUAAAAUAAUGAAAGAGGAUUUAAAAGUAAAUUUAAAUAAAUUUUUAAAUUGAAAAANUAAUNAAGUACG
rnacentral:rRNA from 1 species